rnacentral:rRNA from 1 species
UACGGAGGGUGCGAGCGUUGUCCGGAAUCACUGGGCGUAAAGGGCGCGUAGGUGGCGCGAGGAGUCUGUGGUGAAAGCCCGAGGCUCAACUUCGGGUCGGCCGCGGAUACUCUCGUGCUGGAGGGUGGUAGAGGCCAAUGGAAUUCCGGGUGUAGCGGUGGAAUGCGUAGAGAUCCGGAAGAACACCGGUGGCGAAGGCGGUUGGCUGGGCCACACCUGACACUGAGGAGCGAAAGCGUGGGGAGCGAACAGG